rnacentral:miRNA from 1 species
CAGGAUACCUAGUCAAACUUAAAUGUUAGAUAAACAACAAAUAAACUUUAGUGUAAGUAUAUUCCCUGCAAUAUUUGGGAAAUACUUAUACUAAAAAUUGUACUCAUUAUUAUUGGAAAGUCAAAUUGACCUGGGGAUUCAGUGU